CGGAGAGACCGGGCAGCGGUCAUUUUCAGGGCUGGACAGCCCCUGGCCUGAAGCCUCCAGGAGAGCUCAGGUCAGCCAGCUCAGGGCUGCCGGGAGAUCCGGAGACCCCGUGACGAGCUGACUUGUGUCCCCCAGUGGGUGUGUUAAAAUCCUAAUCGGCACGUCGAGCUGUGCCUGCUUAGAGGGAGGGCUUUGACAGGGGUGGGCAAGGUCAAACGAGGUCAUGAGUGUGGGCGUUUAUCCAGGCGCCGGUGUCCUCAGAAGGGGCGAUCAGGACACGCAGCCCUGAAAGAAGGGAGACCCUGACACAGGCUGCAACAUGGAAGGACCUCGACGUCACAUUCUGGGACAGAAACCAGCCACCAAAAAUGUCACAUACUAAUCCAGGGAGUUCCUGUCGUGGCUCAGCGGUAACGAACCUGACCGGGAUCCAUGAGGAUGCAGGUUCGAUCCCUGGCCUCACUCGGUGGGUUAAGGGUCCUGCGUGGCUGUGGCUGUGGCGCAGGCUGGCAGCUGCAGCUCUGAUUGGACCCCCAGCCUAGGAAUUUCCAUGCGCUGCCGGUGUGGCUCUAAAAAGACCCCCCCCCAAAAAAAAGAAAAAAAAAAGAAAGCAAUUCCACACCCAGAGCAUCAGAUUCAUAAAGACAGAUGGUUGAGGGAGCUCCCUGGUGGCUCAGGAGGUUAAAGAUCCGGCGUGGUCACUGCUGUGGUUUGGGUUUGAUCCCUGGCUGGGGAACUGUUGCAUGCUGAAAAUGGUACACUGUAUUAUCUGUAAUUCGUUGUAUUUAUUAUUUAUUUAUGUUAUUGAUUAUAUUUUAUUGUAUUUUACCGCAAUACAAAUUUUUUACGUUUUAAGAUGCAGGAGUGGUGGCGCCCGUGGUACCCGUGUUUAACUCACGGCCGGGACUGCUGCCAGCACCGCUGACUCACAAUGACCGUGGCGCAAGUGCGAGCGGGAGCCUGAGCGCAGCUGGGCAGGCCUGCUCCUCCCUCGGCCUUGGCGCUGCCCCAGUGCCGACUCUGCCCUGGCGACUCCCCUGUUUGGAGACAGCGGCAUCAGGGAGGCUGUUUCUGGGGGGGCUCCGAGCUGGCAGCACAUGGCCACAAUUUGAGGAGAGGCUGCCUGGGAAUGAAGCCAUGACGAGGAAAGAUGGACAGAAACAGGAGAAAAGGAAUGAAGCACCUGGAUGGAGCUGUACCUGAAACCCAGGUGAGCUGAUACAUUCCCUUCUGCACAAGUCAGUUCAAACUGGGUUUCUGUACCGUCCAGUCAAAAGAUGCCUGAUUAAUGCAGGGUCUACGGCCCCAAAACAGUUUGCAGCCUUAGCCCCUUUUCCUGUCCGGUGGUUUCCUCUUAGGACAGUAAUUUGCAAGAGCAUUCACCAUAUUAGGAACUUUCCAUCACAUCCUUUGCAACUGGU
rnacentral:lncRNA from 1 species